CUGAAUUCCACCUUAUAAUAUUGAACCCUAAACUCUAAUCACUAAACCUAAUUCAAUUAUAAAAUAAAUAAAAAAUAAUUAAUUUUUUAAUGAAUGCUACUUUGGAAAAAAAACUAUCUGGUAUUAUUUUGAAAUAAGAAUAUGUUUUAGUACUAUCCUACCAUAUUUCUCUUUUAAAAUUAGUUUUUUUUUUCUUUUUGAAAAGUUUAUUGUAAAACUGAGCAAAUUACUCUUAUUGUAAGAAGGAAAAACUGUUUUGAAUAGUUAGAAAAAUGAAAAAAAAAAGCAAAAAAAAAAACAAAAUUCGGAAACCCAACAAAUUUUAGGAAUUUUCAUGUUUACCACAUUGUUUUUACCAUUAUUCAUGUUUACCACCACUAAAGAGACAUUUUCAAAAAUAAAUUUUUCAUUAAGCGACAAAAGACACUUAUAUCCUUUAUAUAUAUAAUAAAUAAUUAUUUAAAUAAAUAAAAAAUAAAAAAAAUAUUAUGUUUUUGAAUUACACUUUAUGAAAUUUGAGCUUUUUUAUAAAAAAAUUUUGAACUUUUUUUCGAAAUUGUUAUAAUUAACUAAUGGAAAUACAUGUUUACGAAAUGUCUCCAAAUAAUUGAGCAUCAAUAGGAUGAUCUACAAGCGUACACUAAUGGCUGCAUACUUUACCUAAAGUCCAACUGACAUUUUAAGAAACU
rnacentral:lncRNA from 1 species